CUGAGAAAUACAGAGAGAGUUUUGUGGAGCCGAUAGUCUAAAGUCUAAAUAGCUUUGUAGUAACUCAUUUGGCAACGGCUAGAAUGUAACGGAGGUUCAUUAAUAUCAACGUUACGCACUAAAGCUUUAACACAAAACAUAUUCAGUUUA